rnacentral:lncRNA from 1 species
GCGAAACAUAAAUAUUAUUUAAUGUGGUAUGUUAGAUAUAUUUAACAAUUUAAAUAAAUGAAGAUUACGAUAAACAUGUUUACAUCAGAAUAAAUUAAAAAAAACAAAAUCUGUCCUUAUUCUCUUCUAAUCUUUCCUUCGUCUUCUCUAUUGUCGGUGAUGUCAGCACCGUUCAUGGUCAACUGCGUCUCCUUCUGUUUCUUGUUUGAAGUCUCUUAUUU